CAGAGCUGUAAACAUUUUUUUAAAAAAAAGAUUUUAUGCUGAUAUGAAGUUAAAAAUAGCACUGCUGUCAUCUUUCCAUUAUUUAGAGGUAAGUCACCUUGUUAGUGUCUUAGAGAGGUAAUUUCUUUGCUUGCUUUUUAGACAUGAUACUCAAAGGCAUUUCCAACCAUGAAACAGGAAAGAAGGGAAAAGAAACAUCAGACAUCAAAUCCUGAAUCUUACAGUCUGCCAACAGCUAUUUCCCCUAUCUUUGGAGAACCCAGUGUCUAAAGAACCAGUUCCUUUUAACAACUCAAUAGCGAAUGGUUUUUCAAAGUGAUAUCCUCUUGUAUCAAGAAUAUAAAAACAUCUCCCUUCCUGGAAGGGGGGAAGAAGGAAGAUUAGGCUAAAAACCUAGCCUGAUUUCUACAGAGUCCUAGCCCCACCACGUUCACAUACAGAUACAGAAAGAUGAAGAAGACAGCAUGGAACCAGACGUAUUGAGAUCCCUUAUUAGAAGCAUUUACCUGAUUUUUUCAUUGUGAGUCAAGAGCUCUUGAAAGAAGGUCCCCAGGCUUACUUUGAGGGAUGCUGUUCUACCAGGCCAAAUGCCACUUUCCUCCAGGAGGCCCAUCUGGAGUUUCCCAUUGCUAGUGUUUCCUCACUAGGAUUUACGCUGUAAUUUACUUAUCACUUUACAUGUUUCCCCCCCAGAAGAAUGUAAGCUCCUUGAGGGAGUGCUCUCU